UCUGACACGCAUCGCUCUCGUAGCGAAGUUGGAGUACAGUUGAGUGCGAUACGUGUUAGAGUGAGGAUUUUGCGAAGCAUUUUGGAAAUAUGUUGCUAAUCGCGAUUCGUAAAGUCAAAAAACGCGGAUUGAAGAAUGGCUAAAUGAAGCUAAAUUUAUGUCUCAUCACAGUUUAAAUAGUUACCAAAAGAAUUUAAAUUGAAACAAAAUGAC